GUAAAGGACUGUCGUCGCUCGACGCGUAAUCUCAGGAAAGGAAAGCACCCGUUUUGCAAGAGUUUAAGCAAUUGAGAUUGAUCGGUCGAGGCAAAGGAGGUGUUGGGACAGAAGACUAAAUAAGUAGAAGGAUAGCUGGUGUAGUAUGUCUUCAUACAUAUUACAUCUGUCUUGGUACUCUUUCGUUGCGUAAACUUAGACUUGCUUUAGAAAAGACAAUGUCCCAUAUUUCACUCUGAUUUAGUAUGGUUGUACCUUUAUCCCAUUUCAGACAAUAUUUAUUUGAAUUAAGUUACAUUCAUGA